rnacentral:rRNA from 1 species
AUUGAACGCUGGCGGCAGGCCUAACACAUGCAAGUCGAGCGGGGUUUUCGGACCUAGCGGCGGACGGGUGAGUAAUGCGUAGGAAGCUACCCGAUAGAGGGGGAUACCAGUUGGAAACGACUGUUAAUACCGCAUAAUGUCUACGGACCAAAGUGUGGGACCUUCGGGCCACAUGCUAUCGGAUGCGCCUACGUGGGAUUAGCUAGUUGGUGAGGUAAUGGCUCACCAAGGCGACGAUCCCUAGCUGGUUGGAGAGGAUGAUCAGCCACAUUGGAACUGAGACACGGUCCAGACUCCUACGGGAGGCAGCAGUGGGGAAUAUUGGACAAUGGGCGCAAGCCUGAUUCAGCCAUGCCGCGUGUGUGAAGAAGGCCUUCGGGUUGUAAAGCACUUUCAGUAGGGAGGAAGCGUUGUGUGUUAAUAGUACACAGCUUUGACGUUACCUACAGAAGAAGCACCGGCUAACUCUGUGCCAGCCGCCGCGGUAAUAC